rnacentral:rRNA from 1 species
UCGGGCCUACGGGGCGCAGCAGUGCGGAAUAUUGGUCAAUGGCCGAGAGGCUGAACCAGCCACGUCGCGUGAGGGAUGACGGCCCUACGGGUUGUAAACCUCUUUUGUCGGGGAGCAAGACCCGCCUCGUGCAGGCGGAGCGAGAGUACCCGAAGAAAAAGCAUCGGCUAACUCCGUGCCAGCAGCCGCGGUAAUACGGAGGAUGCGAGCGUUAUCCGGAUUUAUUGGGUUUAAAGGGUGCG